AACCAGGCUAUGUGGGGUGGCCAGUCCUCUUCUGGCUGUGCCGGGUAGAGAUUAUAACAGAACAUGGCCAAGAUGUUCAAAUGUUCAUAAAUGACCAGCAUGGUCGAAUAAUAAUAAGGCAGAACAGUUGAAACUGGAGCAGCAGCACGGCCAGGUGGACUGGGGACAGCAAGGAGUCAUCAUGUCAAGUAGUCCUGGGGCAUGGUCCUAGGGCUCAGGUCAGUUGAAACUAUUCUCUCUGUAGUAGAGACAGUGGAGAGUCCCUCAACCAUUUCAGAAAACAAGGAACUCACACCUUCAACAGUGAAGGACAAGGAUGUCUCCAUAGUUUCAGAAUGCAAGAAAACUACCCCUUGUGCAGUGGAGACUAAUGACAAUGAGGAUAUCACCAUUGUUUCAGAAAGCAAGAAUCCCACGAAAGCACCGUCAGCAGUGGAGAAUGCCUCUAUCAUUUCAGAAAGUUCGUCACAUGAGGGCCAUCGCCUGUGGAUCGGUAACAUCUAUCCCAAAAUCACAGAGUACCACCCGGUGAAGCUGCUGGAGAGGUUUGGGAAGGUGGAACAGUUUGACUUCCUGUUCCACAAGUCUGGACCAAUGGAGGGCCAGCCCCGAGGAUACUGCUUCGUUAACUUCCACACCAAAGAGGAAGCAGAGCGGGCGAUCCAUUGUCUGAAUGGGAAGCUGGCCCUCUCCAAGAAGCUGGUGGUGCGCUGGGUACACGCACAGGUAAAGCUUCCCCACAAUGCCUGUGGAUUUGACCAAAAACAGCACCAGACAAACAGUGACACGCUUCAUGUUAGUGGGCCUCCCGAGUGGCGCAGCAGUCCAAGACACUGCAUCGCCGUGCUUGAGGCAUCACUACAGAACCUGGUUCAAUCCCAGGCAGUGCCACAACCGGGAAUCCCAUAGAGCGGCGCACAAUUCCCAUAGGGCGGCGCCCAAGAUCGUAAUUGGAUCGCAAUUGAAUAUCACCAAAUUGUGGAGAAAAUGGAGUUUGCUUCCCCACUUACUCACUCUCCUCACAGUCACUCUCUCCCUCUCUCUAUAACGCUCUCCUUCUCAGUGACUCUCUCCCUCUCUCUAUAACGCUCUCCUUCUCAGUCACUCUCUCCCUCUCUAUAACACUCUCCUUCUCAGUGACUCUCUCUCUCUCUAUAACACUCUCCUUCUCAGUGACUCUCU